GUCGUAGUGACCUGCGGAGGAUCAUUACCGAGUGAGGGCCCUCUGGGUCCAACCUCCCACCCGUGUUUAUUUUACCUUGUUGCUUCGGCGGGCCCGCCUUAACUGGCCGCCGGGGGGCUUACGCCCCCGGGCCCGCGCCCGCCGAAGACACCCUCGAACUCUGUCUGAAGAUUGAAGUCUGAGUGAAAAUAUAAAUUAUUUAAAACUUUCAACAACGGAUCUCUUGGUUCCGGCAUCGAUGAAGAACGCAGCGAAAUGCGAUACGUAAUGUGAAUUGCAAAUUCAGUGAAUCAUCGAGUCUUUGAACGCACAUUGCGCCCCCUGGUAUUCCGGGGGGCAUGCCUGUCCGAGCGUCAUUGCUGCCCUCAAGCCCGGCUUGUGUGUUGGGCCCCGUCCCCCGAUCUCCGGGGGACGGGCCCGAAAGGCAGCGGCGGCACCGCGUCCGGUCCUCGAGCGUAUGGGGCUUUGUCACCCGCUCUGUAGGCCCGGCCGGCGCUUGCCGAUCAACCCAAAUUUUUAUCCAGGUUGACCUCGGAUCAGGUAGGGAUACCCGCUGAACUUAAGCAUAUCA
rnacentral:rRNA from 1 species